AUUGAACGCUGGCGGCAGGCCUAACACAUGCAAGUCGAGCGGAGCGGCGGACGGGUGAGUAAUGCCUAGGAAUGUGCCUGGUAGCGGUGGAUAACGUCCGGAAACGGGAGCGAAUACCGCAUCCUAGCAGAAUCGCAUAGUUCGGAGUAGCUAGUUGGUGGGGUAGAGGCCUACAAAGGCGACGAGCCGUAACUGGUCUGGGAGGAUGAGCAGUCACACGGGAACUGAGACACGGCCCAGACUCCUACGGGAGGCAGCAGUGGGGAAUAUUGGACAAUGGGCGAAAGCCUGAGCCAGCCAUGCCGCGUGUGUGAAGAAGGUCUUAGGGUUGUAAAGCACUUUAAGCGGGGAGGCGUUACCCGCAGAAUAAGCACCGGCUAACUCCGUGCCAGCCGCCGCGGUAAUUC
rnacentral:rRNA from 1 species